GUAUUUGGCCAUGAGCAAUGGCUUGGGGUGUAAUGCUGUGCUCUCGCAUCCAUUCUGUCCAGAGGUUUGCGAUGCCGUCGAGGAGCUAUCGUCCCAUUUCUCGCGAGUGGAUUGCCUUGUGGCUUCCAACAUGAGGCGCGUCCUCGGGGCCUAUGCAAAUGCGCGCAUUGGGUCGCAACACUUCAGUGGCUCUACCGGCUAUGGCCACAAUGACGCUGGUGGCAGAGAGGCGUUUGAUAAGGCUUUUGCCGAGAUCUUCCGCGCUGAAGCAGCGAUCGUGAGGCCACAGGUGCUUGAUCUUUAUAGCUUUCUUUUCGUUUCACUGCUUUCGAACUCUUUCAAUGGGUGGGUGUGUGUGUGUUUUUCACAGUUUUUCUCAGGAACUCACGCGAUCGCUUCAGCUCUUUAUGCUGUUCUCCGGCCGGGUGACGAGUUGUUGUCCGUGGCAGGAGCGCCUUAUGAUACACUCGAGGAAGUUAUUGGCUUGCGAGGAUCAAAAGGCCAUGGAUCGCUCAAAGAAUUUGGGAUCAGCUACCGCGAAGUGCCAGUUACUGCUAAAGGUUGUCUUGACAAAACUGCGUUGGCAACAUCUGUAACAAAGAAGACACAAUGUGCCUUCAUCCAAAGAUCCUGCGGCUACUCGUGGCGAGAGACCUUGUCAAUAUCUGACAUUCAAGCCGCAGUCACUCUCAUCAAGGACCAAAAUCCAAACUGCGUGGUAAUGGUUGACAACUGCUAUGGAGAGUUCGUAGAGACCGUAGAGCCUACUGCCGUGGGAGCUGAUAUCGUCGCUGGAAGCUUGAUAAAAAAUCCCGGUGGCACAAUCGCUCCUUGUGGAGGAUACGUCGUUGGAAAGACCGAGCUUGUUGCAGCGGCUGCUGCUCGGCUCUCUGCUCCAGGCAUUGGAAUUGAUGCCGGGUCGGCCUCUGGUGAUAUCAUGCGUUUGCUGGUGCAAGGACUCUUCCUAGCACCUCAAAUGGUCGGGGAAGCCAUCAAGGGUACACUGCUUGUAGCUGAAGUUCUAGCUAAAGAAGGCUACAAAGUCAGGCCGUCACAACGUGCCAAACGCUACGACACGAUACAGGCUGUAGAACUGGGAAGCCGAGAGCGGCUACUAGCAUUUUGUGCCGCUGUUCAGCAAUGUUGCCCGGUUGGAGCAUAUAUUAAACCCACCGCUGGCGUGACCCCUGGCUAUGAGUCCGAGGUUGUAUUUGCUGAUGGAACUUUCAUAGAUGGAAGCACGAGUGAGCUCUCCUGCGAUGGUCCUUUGAGGGAGCCUUUCAUCGUCUUUUGUCAGGGUGGCACUCACUGGACUCACUGGGCUCUCACACUGGAGAAAGUUUUGCAAGCACUAAAAAAAGCUUGAUCUGAUCACAAGAAGCACGCACCUUGCAAAAGAACACUCUGACAGCGAAAUGGUUGCUCAACAAAUGCUCGGGAUCCCCUGGUUGACAACAAACAACAUAUAGUACGCCUGCGGAGCCAAGUUCCCGGUGGGAGGUCCCGUCCCGGUUACGGUGUAAG